AAUUUACAGAUCUAACAGUUCUACCUAUAACAGUUUAAUACAGUUCUAUCUAAAACUGGUUCUGACAGUUCUACUAAGAACAGUUUUUGGGGUAGAACUGUUCUAGGUAGAACUGUUCUAGGAGAGUUUACAACAGCUCUAUGACAGAUUAUUCUGACAAUUCUAACGAGAGAUCAGAAGUUAUAUCCACUGUAUGAUUCCAAAAGAAGAUCCUGCAUUUAUUGUUUCCCUUCUUUUUUUUUAAAUCAGGUCGUCAUUUUGCACUUUUUUUUUUUUGAAUGACUCAGAGGACAUAAGAGAAAAAGGUAAGCACGUGUAACCUGCCCC
rnacentral:lncRNA from 1 species